rnacentral:tRNA from 1 species
GCCUAGCUGGCUCAGUAGUAGAAGCAUGUGACUCUUGAUCUUGGGGUCAUGAGUUCGAGCCCCGUGUUGGGUG